GGUCGCAUAGUGGCCGAGUGCGUCCGCUUGGAGAGCGGAUAGGAUUGAAAGAUCCUCGCGGGUUCGAAUCCCGCCCUCUCCGCCA
rnacentral:tRNA from 1 species